UGAAUCGUAGAGAUGUGAGGACACCAUGGCGAAGCAGCCCCUGGGAUAACACUGACGCUCAUGUCGAAAGCGUGGGUAGCAACAGGAUUAGAUACCCUGGUAGUCCACGCCCUAAACGAUGUCAACUGGUUGUUGGGGGAGUGAAAUCCCUUAGUAACGAAGCUAACGCGUGAAGUUGACCGCCUGGGGAGUACGGUCGCAAGAUUAAAACUCAAAGGAAUUGACGGGGACCCGCACAAGCGGUGGAUGAUGUGGAUUAAUUCGAUGCAACGCGAAAAACCUUACCUACCCUUGACAUGUCCAGAAUCCUGCAGAGAUGCGGGAGUGCCCGAAAGGGAAUUGGAACACAGGUGCUGCAUGGCUGUCGUCAGCUCGUGUCGUGAGAUGUUGGGUUAAGUCCCGCAACGAGCGCAACCCUUAUCAUUAGUUGCUACGCAAGGGCACUCUAAUGAGACUGCCGGUGACAAACCGGAGGAAGGUGGGGAUGACGUCAAGUCCUCAUGGCCCUUAUGGGCAGGGCUUCACACGUCAUACAAUGGUCGGUACAGAGGGUUGCCAAGCCGCGAGGUGGAGCCAAUCCCAGAAAGCCGAUCGUAGUCCGGAUUGUUCUCUGCAACUCGAGAGCAUGAAGUCGGAAUCGCUAGUAAUCGCGGAUCAGCAUGUCGCGGUGAAUACGUUCCCGGGUCUUGUACACACCGCCCGUAAGGGC
rnacentral:rRNA from 1 species